UGUGGUAUGGUUCAGUAGUAGAGUGUUUGCCUAGCAAGUGCAAGGCCCUGGGUUCAAUCCCCAGUACCACAC
rnacentral:tRNA from 1 species